CCCACAUUCCCUCCUACCGACAUGCACCUUGAAGUAUCCCUGCGCCACCCAGUGGUUCUCAUGCUCCUUGUCUGAAAAGUACCAGCUGGAUACCAGAGGUGGUGUCAUGCUAGGUAUCACCAGGAACCAGAGAGGAUGCUCUUGGGAUACUUGAAGAGGAAGGAGACAUGAGAGACUUCCUGUGACCCAGAACCAGAGUCUGGGCUGUGAAGUUAUGGAAGAAGCCUGGGGUCUUCUGGAUGGUGUGAGGAGAGCUUGUGGGACCUGGCUGCUGAAAUCACUGGAGCAGGGAAAGACAGAGGGACAAGACGCCAUGAUAGUAGGGAGGCAUGACAGCAAACAGCAGGAGCCAGAGGAUGGGCUGUCACAUCUUCAACCACAAACACAAAGCAGAGAAUGAACUGGAUGUCGGGAGAAGGUUCUGAGGCCCUCCAGAAGGACAAAGCAGCAUACUUAGUGCAGAAGUUGCCUAUGCCUGACUCUUUAUCCUUUGUGGCGUAUAUCCCAUUCAAAUCCCAUGCUGAUCCAAAGGAAUGGACCUAGAAAAACCAGACAGAGUGUCUUACUGGGCUGUCAAGAAGAAUGACGUGUCAGGCCUGUGGAGCAGUUCCUGCAGUGGGGCAGGGUCAUUGCAGUCACUGCAGUGGAUGAGAAGAUGCUGCCAUGGUUGGGGCCACUGCACCAGACCAGAUCUCUGAUCCUGAGCCUUACAGGCCUCUCAGGUGACAAAAACGUAUAUGCCAGUUUGGGGGUGAGGAGCAAUGAGCUCAGAGGUAAGAGCCACAUGGACGUGUGGGUAGAUGCUGGUCGUUUGAGUGGCAGAAUCAAAAGAGAGAACAGGAAUGAACGAAAUGUUCAGGUACAGACAUCUAGGUGCACCUGAACUACCAAGGAAUGUACUAUGGUUCACCUGAGCUCCCAGUGAGACUCCCCUGUGCACAUGCAACCCAGAUUUGAUGUCCGUGGCACACUUGAAUUCCAGGUAAGAAAUAUUUGCCUGAGUGCAUGGGUGAGAAGGUCUAGUUCACCUACACUCCUAAGUACCUGUCUACCUGAACUCCUAAGGGAACUUUCUAGAGUACCUACACUUCAGGAUGAGACUCACUAUUGCACCUGUACAAUGAGAUGAGCCUUUCUGUUGCAAGUACACUUCCAGGUGUGUACCUCUGCCCACCUAGGUGAGUCUCCUUGGUGCAUCUGACCUCUCCUAUGGGACUCUCAUAUGCUCUUGCUUCCCAGGUGAAAAUCUCUGGUGCUCUUUCAAUCCCAGCUGGAACACCUGGUGCCCUUUAACUCCCAAGUGAGACUUCAUAAUGUGAACCUAUUUCAAAGUGAGUCCCUGGUACAGUUGCACUCCCAACUGAAUUUCUCUGGUACACAGGCUCUUACAGGAAUUGAGCCAUUUCUAGAUGCUUCUCAGUAACGCAGUAGCUCCUCCCGGUGUGAUCCUCUGGUGACGCUGAACUUCCAGGUGAGACUACCUGCUGCUCCUGCAAUUCCAGGUGUGAUUCUCUAAUGUACUUGAACUUCCUGGCAUGCCUGUAUUUUCAGAUAUGACAGACUUGUAUAACUUUUCUCAGAUAUGUGUUAGUCAAGUUCAUCCACACUUGUGGAAUAGACACUGCUGUAACAGUGCUUCCAGGUCAACCCUUCUAAGUGCCCCACCCCCUUGUCUUCCAGGUGAGUGUAUGUGGUGCAGGUGAGCUUCCUCCUGAGACAUCUGGGUUCAUGUUCACUUGCAGGUGAGUCACCCUGGCAGAUCUGAACAGUCAAAGCAGUCCCAGGGGUAUAUUUCAACUCCAAGAGUGGGUUUCCUGGAAUCUGUAAACUAGCAGAAAGGACUCUGGUCCUCUGCUCCUUCCUUGAAUGUGGGACUAUCCUGUAUACUUGAAUGCACAGCCAAGACUCUGCUGCACCUGCCCUUCCACAUGAGUCUCCACUGUGCACCUUCCCAUGGAGUCAGGCUCUGCUGCAACUGUUCCUCAAAUUCUUGAUCCUGUUUGUGACUGCACCUCUGGGUGGGCCUUCUGGUGCAGCUCUGCUCCAAGUUGAGUCUCCCUGCUGCCCCUGCAUCCACCAGGGGAAUCUACCUUGUACAACUGCACUUCCUGAUAUAAGACCCUGAUACAUUUUCCAGCCCCCAGGUGAGUGUUUCUGAUACAGCUGCACUUCCAGAUGACCUUCCCUCAUCCAUGUGUUCUUCCAUGGGAGACGUGGAGCACCCACAUUUCUUGGUGCAACCAAAAUUUCAAGCAAUGUAUUUGGUGCAACUACAUUCCCUCAUGAGAAGAACUCACUCUCCUGCUAUCUGAGGUAAAGUCUUCCCAAUGCACCUUCCUUUUCAGAUGAGUUCCUGUUGUCCCUAGACUUCAAGGUCAGACUCUGUGGUGCACUGACCUUGUGAGGUAGGGCCAUCAACCUGCACCUGAACUUCCAGGUGAGACUUCCUUUUACAUGUGUGCUUCUAGAUUAGUCCCUAAUGCAAUUUUCUUUGCAGGUGGAAUUCCUUGAGCAAGUAAACUCUGAGGUGAGACUUCUUUGUGAAAAACUACUCCAUAGUGAGACUCUGUUCCACCUGUACUCUGAUGAGACAUACUUCUGCAACUGCAUUCCCAUGACAGUCUCCCUCUUGACUUUCCAUGUGAUCAAUCCGAUUCACCUGCACUUUCAGGUGUACUAUUUGGUCCACCUGGACUCCCAUAUGAGGCUCUGUGUCACACCUGCGCAAUCAGGUUGUGGUUAUGUGCACAACAAAGUGCUUCCCCAGUCCACCUGCAAUUUAAGGUGAAUUCCGAUGUUACACUUGCACUUCCAGCUAAGUGUCAGCACUGCGCUUGCAAAUCCACGUCUGCCUACAUUGUGCACAUGCAUUUACAAAUGAGGUGAAAUUCUUUUUUGCACUUGUUUUCCAAGGGGCAGUUUCCCUCAGGUGUGACUCUGAUCGUCUCCAUUUCAGGUGAGAUCUCUUAGUGCACUUGCAUUCCCAAGUAGGACUUCCAGGGAGACCUGCACUGCACUUCCAGGCUGGUCUCCAGACCAGCACAACCCAGUCUUAUCUGGACUUCUAGCUGUAUUUCCCAGAUGUACUGUCCCUUCAGGUGCAUUUUCCUAUUGUGGCCUCAGAGCUAGGUAAGAUGCUUUUGUACCUCCACUGCAAGAUGAAUCCAUGCAGAUCUUCACUUGCAGCAGAGUCCACUCUGUAGCUGCACUUCAUGUUGAGACUUUGGGCUACAGCUGCAGAUUCAGGACAGACUGUGGUUCAUGUGCACUUCCAGGUAUAUUCCCUGGAUAUCCUACACUUCCGGUUAGGCAUCCUAACUGCACACCGAUGUAAGACACUGUGAUACAUCUGAACUACCAUGUGAGAUUUUAUUGGACAUCUUCAUUUCCAGAUGAAUCUCAUUGCCACAUCACUUUCAGGAGAGGGUCAGUCAUGCACCUGCUUUCCAUGUUUACAUCCCUGGUACAGCUGCAUUCUAUGGUAAUCUGGUAGCCCUGAUCUUCCGUUUUAGAUCCUCUGAAGUACCUGUCUUCCUUCAUAUAUCUCCCUAUGGCUCCUGCACUUCCAAGUGAAACACCCUGGCACAUCUGCUCUCACUGUCAUGGUGUACCAGAAUGUCUAGGGGACACCUAGGGGAGACGCUCUUGGAUAUAUGCAUGCCAGGUCAGAUUCUGUGGAGGACCUGCACUUCUACAUGUAUCUCCUUGGUACACUUGCCCCCAAAAUUAUGUUGUGUGAUAUGCUUUCAUACUCAUCAUGUUUGAUCACUUGUGUCAUUUGAAUGCCUUUGGUGCACAAGAAUGCCCAGCUGAGCCUCUCUUUGCCCUGGAGUUUAAUAUGCAACCUUCAGAGGAACCUGCAAUUCCAGAUGAGUUCCUGUGAUGCACCUGCAGUCCCAUGUAAGCUUCUGUGGCACAUUUGUACUUCCAGUAUAGUAUCCCUACAGAAGAUGGAGGUACAGAAAUUUUGAAGCUCUGUUCCACAAAGCUUAUGGAAGGCCACUCUUCUGAGCUAAGCUCUUACAGGAGAACCCAGCAGACCAGGACAAAUCAGAAGAAAAUAGCUCUGCAAAACUAAACACUGAAAAGUUCCCAUUUUCCAAAAAUCAGAGGGAUACAGCCAAGGAUAUAAGGAAGUCCCUCUGCUUUAUCUUAACAAGGAAAGUCAUUUCAAGUUCAUAAUCUGCAGAUGUUGAUUUUAAGCUUUAUUGCAUUGUGGUCUGGUAGAAUGCAUGGAAUUAUUUCAGUCUUUUUGUAAUUGUUGAGGUUUUUUGUGCCCCAGUAUAUGGUCGA